AUGAGCAAAACAUGGGUUCUGGUGGAAUGGAGGGAGGAGCCUCCCACCUAUGAUAUUGUCCCUAAAAAGGACAUACUAAAAAAAAAGUUUGAACCUGGAGAUGUUGUGGAUGUGGCUUAUGAAGAGGAAAGUUCCCCAGCCACAGUUAUAGAUAUUGAUGAGAGCAAAGAUACCCUCAGGAGGAGGAUGUUUAGGCUAGAGGGGAAAAGAAAAAAUCAGCCAUGUUUGCAAAAUGAUGCAAAAAGAGUAGCAAAGAAAAAAAAACGUACACUCCAACUCAGUCCCCAUCUCACUCCAAAACGUCCUCAUCAUCUGAUCAAGAGCCUCCAGUCAAACAUCAAGUAAUACCUACAUCUUUUAAAUGGCUACUCUUAUUUUUCAUUAUGCUUAUUUAAAUCACAAAUAUUAAUGACACCGAUAUGACACUAAUGACACUAAUAUUGUGUGUCCAUCUUUAGGUCAUCCACCGAAAGGACAGUAUGUUAAUGCAAGAGAUUAACAGCAUGGAGAGUCAAGCUGGAGAGCAUUCAAGCCGAGAAACUCAACUUGAGAGAGAAAUUCUCAAAUUAAAAAAAGAAAAUGAGAAUCUAAGAGCACUUAAUAUAGCUCUGCAACAAGGUAUUCUUUUUUUCUUCAUGUAUUUGUCUAUCCAUCUAUAUAUUAAUUUAUCAGUCAGUGUGGUUGUCUGUUAGUAAUCAUUUAUUUUGUAUUUUUUAAGAAAUUCUUCCAAUGCUCAAGUGCAGCAUGAACCAGGACACUCUUGUUGCUCAACAACCACAAGUUGCUCAACAACCACAAGAUUCAAGUCAGAAGAAUCCCCCUGAAAAGGUGAAUACAAAUAUAUUAGUUUGUUUAAAUAGCCUAUAUUCACGUAAAGUGUUGUGCAGAAGUCGUAGAAGGCAUGUUAACUUCUUCAUGUUUCAUUUUACAUUUGGAACAAAAUACACAUUUGGUAAGAUCACCCCCUUGACUAUGAAACAGCUGGCACACUAAACCAAAAUAUAUCACUUUUAUGUUGAAGAAUCUAACAAGCCUAACACUUUUGCACAGUAUGUAGUCAAAGUUAUAUGCUUUUAGAUACAGUGUCCCUAACCUUUUUCUUGACAGACACGGGCUAGGAAUUAGUUCAGCUGUCCUGACAAGUUGUGGACGGGGGGGGCACAUCAUGUUCUGCCAUGGUGAAAGAUCUGGCAGUGGCAGUGUUUGGGAGAGAGACACUGGCCACACAUGGGCUGUCUGGAAGGGCUGGCAAUGCUAACACAGGCGCUUUGGCAAAGCCAGCUCUUGACCAGGACAAAGUUGUGCUGAUCCUAGGUGAGAAAAAUGUCCUGCUUUUUUUCUUUACGCAAACAUGAUGUUGCAGUUAUAGUGCAAAAUUGUAAUAAUGUUAUCACAUAUGAUAAGUGGAAUUGCUUUUACAAAAACAGUACAAAAAAAGUUCCCUGAUGUUCCAAAAAAGUUCAUCAGGGCAACACUAAGAGAAAAGUUAAAUGAUAAGCACAAGUUACGAGUAAGGUAAUAAUUUGUCAUACACACAACACACUCGCUCAUGCGCUUUCUCUCUCUCUCUCACCUCACACACCCUCAUGCUCUCUCACACACAAACACAUACUCAUGCUCUCCCGCUCUCUCUCUCUCUCUCUCUCUCACACACACACACACACAGACACGUUAAUGAUCUCUCUUUCUCUAUCUCUCACACACACACACACACACACACACACAUACACACACACACACACACACACACACACACACACACACAAACAAAUUUUUAAAUUUCUCUUUUUUUCUUGUUUUUCAGGAAAACAGUGUAGAGGCUUCAUUUGGCUGUGAAUUGGUCUCUGCUUCGCUCUGCUCUUACAGUUUCAAUAAAUACAAUAAAUAAUUUGUGAAAAUACAUUGUUUGUUGUGAAGUUAUUCCCCCUGCAUUAAUCCUACAGAAGACAUAAGAAGACCUGUAUAAUUGCAUAUACAGGUCCUUCUCAAAAAAUUAGCAUAUUGUGAUAAAAGUUCAUUAUUUUCCAUAAUGUAAUGAUAAAAAUUAAACUUUCAUAUAUUUUAGAUUCAUUGCACACCAACUGAAAUAUUUCAGGUCUUUUUAUUGUUUUUAAUACUGAUGAUUUUUGGCAUACAGCUCAUGAAAACCCAAAAAUUCCUAUCUCAAAAAAUGAGCAUAUCAUGAAAAGGUUCUCUAAACGAGCUAUUAACCUAAUCAUCUGAAUCAACUAAUUAACUCUAAACACCUGCAAAAGAUUCCUGAGGCUUUUAAAAACUCCCAGCCUGGUU
ensembl:lncRNA